rnacentral:rRNA from 1 species
AACGAACACUGGCGGCAUGCCUAACACAUGCAAGUCGAACGAGACCUUCGGGUCUAGUGGCGCACGGGUGCGUAACGCGUGGGAACCUGCCCUUAGGUUCGGAAUAACUCCCCGAAAGGGGUGCUAAUACCGGAUAAUGUCUUCGGACCAAAGAUUUAUCGCCUUUGGAUGGGCCCGCGUUGGAUUAGCUAGUUGGUAGGGUAAAAGCCUACCAAGGCGACGAUCCAUAGCUGGUCUGAGAGGAUGAUCAGCCACACUGGGACUGAGACGCGGCCCAGACUCCUACGGGAGGCAGCAGUGGGGAAUAUUGGACAAUGGGCGAAAGCCUGAUCCAGCAAUGCCGCGUGAGUGAUGAAGGCCUUAGGGUUGUAAAGCUCUUUUACCCGGGAUGAUAAUGACAGUACCGGGAGAAUAAGCUCCGGCUAACUCCGUG